AACGUAGGAGACAAACGUUAUCCGGAGUUACUGGGCGUAAAGGGCGCGUAGGCGGCUUGGCAAGUGGAGGGUGAAAUCCCUCGGCUUAACCGAGGAACUGCCCUCCAAACUGCUUGGCUUGAGUCCGGGAGAGGUGAGUGGAAUUCCCAGUGUAGCGGUGAAAUGCGUAGAUAUUGGGAGGAACACCAGUGGCGAAGGCGGCUCACUGGACCGGAACUGACGCUGAGGCGCGAAAGCGUGGGGAGCAAACGGG
rnacentral:rRNA from 1 species